rfam:Burkholderia telluris isolate LMG 22936 genome assembly, contig: contig000008
UUGAGCCGUAUGCGGGGAAACUCGCACGUACGGUUCUCGGGGGGCCCGGCUUUCGCAAGAAAGUCGGGCUACCCGAC